ACAUAAUUAUUUAUCCAUGCUUAUCAGGUAGCUUGAAAAUCGGUGCUAAUUUUCUCCUAAAGCAGUACACCUUGAACUAUGUGAUGGCAACGUAUAGCAAAAUCCAGGUUUCCAUCCUUAAUGGAAUUGUCAUGGGAGGCGGAGCUGGUGCUUCUAUACAUGGUAGAUUUCGAGUUGCAACAGAAAAGUCGGUAUUUGCUAUGCCUGAAACAUAUUUGGGACACUUUCCUGAUGUAGGUGCCUCUUACUUCUUAUCAAGACUUCCAGGAUUCUUUGG